CAGCAGUCUCAUUUCACAAGGCUCCAUUCAGUCUCAACACUGUGUUCCUUUCAUCUGAACCUUCUAAUGCUUCUAGAAACGAAGAUUCCACCUUCUGCUGUGGUUUGAAUUCUGUGCACAGUUAGGCUAUGUUGCAGGAAGCUGGUAUUUCCUGGAGCAAGUUAAGUGCCUGCUCUGUGGCCAGGAAAUGACCCUUCAAAGACCCAGUGGCUGGCAUGGACUUGGCUGGUGUACACCCUAAAGAGGAAGAAAACAAAGGGAAGGUUACAGAGCAAGGAAAAAAUGUCUGCAACUUCCCAAGAAAUGGAUAAACAGCAAUCCUUCAGGAAAUGAUGAGAUAUUCCUGAGACUGAGCAGAUGACACUGUGAAACUUUCAAUAGUUUCCCAUUAAGAAAGACAGAAGAGGAAGCAGAGGAGGAACUUUCAUGACUAUCUGGAGAUACCAUGGAGAGGAAGACCUGCACCUCGCCUGUAAUCUGAAAGUGCAGGUGACAAAACCUGCUCUGGGAGGGGAACAAAGUCUGACUUGGUCUUCCUGGAAUGAGUGAAGUGUGAUUAUCCUUGAAAUGUGAUACAAAGAUUACCUUAUAGUUGAGCAUAUUUCUUCAAAAUUUGUUUCAUAUUAUUCCUUAUACAUGUGAAAUAAUUUAAUAUAAAAAUGAAAUUGCUUUGGAUAAACUUUUUAUUUUAAAAA